UACAGAGGUCUCGAGCGUUUGUUCGGAUUCAUUGGGCGUAAAGGGCGCGUAGGCGGUGCGGUAAGUCACCUGUGAAAUCUCCUGGCUCAACUGGGAGCUUGCAGGCGAAACUGCCGUGCUGGAGUGUGGGAGAGGUGCGUGGAAUUCCCGGUGUAGCGGUGAAAUGCGUAGAUAUCGGGGAGGAACACCUGUGGCGAAAGCGGCGCACUGGACCACAACUGACGC
rnacentral:rRNA from 1 species